CUGUCAUGUCUUUGCCUUCAUAAUUCCUGGAGCAGCAGCGGGGAGCAAGAUGUUUUCUUCUUAUUAUUUCAUUUUUUAUCUACAGAGCGAACAAUGAGCUCACAUAACUACUUCCUGAAGUGAAAGCUGAAACGGGUUUGGUUAAAACAGACCGAGCACGGCUAUAGCUUAUCUCACUUAUUUUUGUCAGCCUUGGUUGAUUUUAGUGUUUUUGUGUUGAUAAUGGACACGCUCUUGUCAGAUUGAAGGUAUAUAAAUUGCUGACGCAGAAAACCUCUGAUUUUGAUUCUUUCCACGCAGGAAACAAAUUGUCAAAGUUUCUCCACAGAGGGAUUCAGUGCCAGACGCUAUGAAGGUUGCGUUGAUAUUUUGUCUCUGCUUGACUGUUGCUAGCGCUUUCGCUCUGAGGAGCGAUGGCGUAGGCCUCCAAGAUGGCGCCAUGCUUGUUGACGUAAGAGUCGCGUGCUGUAAAAUGGGAACAAGCGCCUCCAAAAGGAGCUGCGCGGACAGGGCUGCCACUCUCUCCGAACCCUGCAAAUCGGCCUUCCUGGGUUGCUGCUCCGACCCUGCCGAUGUUGGGGACGCUUUCUAACUUCAAACACAAUGGAUGCUCGACGCCAUACUGAUAGUGAAAUCGUUAAGGAAAGACCACACAAACUGCUUUCCUGAAGAAAUGAGUCUACAUCUGCUGCUACUACAUUGAACUACAUGAUGACGACAUUUUUUUAAUGUUUAAGCAAAGCACGUCGAUUUCUCAUAAGUUCUUAGGCGUUGUAAAAUAGAAUAGUGAAAUAAACUGACAAUGAAAGUUA